rnacentral:rRNA from 1 species
UACAGAGGGUGCUAGCGUUGUUCGGAAUCAUUGGGCGUAAAGGGUGCGUAGGUGGUGAGGUAAGUCGGAUGUGAAAUCUCCGGGCUCAACCCGGAAAUGGCAUUGGAAACUACCUUGCUUGAGGAUUUGAGGGGGGAUUGGAAUACUUGGUGUAGCAGUGAAAUGCGUAGAUAUCAAGUGGAACACCAGUGGCGAAGGCGAAUCCCUGGAAAAUACCUGACACUGAGGCACGAAAGCUAGGGGAGCAAACAGG